rnacentral:rRNA from 1 species
AUACGUAGGGGGCGAGCGUUGUCCGGAAUGAUUGGGCGUAAAGGGCGCGUAGGCGGCCCGGUAAGUCUGGAGUGAAAGUCCUGUUUUUAAGAUGGGAAUUGCUUUGGAUACUGUCGGGCUUGAGUGCAGGAGAGGUAAGUGGAAUUCCCAGUGUAGCGGUGAAAUGCGUAGAGAUUGGGAGGAACACCAGUGGCGAAGGCGACUUGCUGGACUGUAACUGACGCUGAGGCGCGAAAGUGUGGGGAGCAAACAGGAUUAGAUACCCUGGUAGUCCACACUGUAAACGAUGAAUGCUAGGUGUAGGGGGUAUCGACCCCUUCUGUGCCGGAGUAAACGCAAUAAGCAUUCCGCCUGGGGAGUACGGCCGCAAGGUUGAAACUCAAAUGAAUUGACGGGG